AUUGAACGCUGGCGGCAUGCUUUACACAUGCAAGUCGAACGGCAGCGCGGGCUUCGGCCUGGCGGCGAGUGGCGAACGGGUGAGUAAUGCAUCGGAACGUGCCCAGUAGUGGGGGAUAGCCCGGCGAAAGCCGGAUUAAUACCGCAUACGACCUGAGGGUGAAAGCGGGGGACCGAAAGGCCUCGCGCUAUUGGAGCGGCCGAUGUCGGAUUAGCUAGUUGGUGGGGUAAAGGCUUACCAAGGCGACGAUCCGUAGCUGGUCUGAGAGGACGACCAGCCACACUGGGACUGGGACACGGCCCAGACUCCUACGGGAGGCAGCAGUGGGGAAUUUUGGACAAUGGGGGCAACCCUGAUCCAGCCAUGCCGCGUGCGGGAAGAAGGCCUUCGGGUUGUAAACCGCUUUUGCUCGGGAAGAAAUCCUCUGGGCUAAUACCCCGGGGGGAUGACGGUACCGGAAGAAUAAGCACCGGCUAACUACGUG
rnacentral:rRNA from 1 species